rnacentral:tRNA from 1 species
GGCGGGAUAGCAAAGCGGUUAUGCAGCGGCCUGCAAAGCCGUGUAGACCGGUUCGACUCCGGUUCCCGCCUCCA